rnacentral:rRNA from 1 species
GUAACACGUGGGUAACCUGCCCAUAAGACUGGGAUAACUCCGGGAAACCGGGGCUAAUACCGGAUAACAUUUUGAACUGCAUGGUUCGAAAUUGAAAGGCGGCUUCGGCUGUCACUUAUGGAUGGACCCGCGUCGCAUUAGCUAGUUGGUGAGGUAACGGCUCACCAAGGCAACGAUGCGUAGCCGACCUGAGAGGGUGAUCGGCCACACUGGGACUGAGACACGGCCCAGACUCCUACGGGAGGCAGCAGUAGGGAAUCUUCCGCAAUGGACGAAAGUCUGACGGAGCAACGCCGCGUGAGUGAUGAAGGCUUUCGGGUCGUAAAACUCUGUUGUUAGGGAAGAACAAGUGCUAGUUGAAUAAGCUGGCACCUUGACGGUACCUAACCAGAAAGCCACGGCUAACUACGUGCCAGCAGCCGCGGUAAUACGUAGGUGGCAAGCGUUAUCCGGAAUUAUUGGGCGUAAAGCGCGCGCAGGUGGUUUCUUAAGUCUGAUGUGAAAGCC